rnacentral:rRNA from 1 species
AUUGAACGCUGGCGGCAGGCCUAACACAUGCAAGUCGAGCGAGCGGCGGACGGGUGAGUAAUGUCUGGGAAACUGCCUGAUGGAGGGGGAUAACUACUGGAAACGGUCGCUAAUACCGCAUACCAUCAGAUGUGCCCAGCUGGGAUUAGCUCGUAGGUGGGGUAACGGCUCACCUAGGCGACGAUCCCUAGCUGGUCUGAGAGGAUUACCAGCCACACUGGAACUGAGCCACGGGCAAGACUCCUACGGGAGGCAGCAGUGGGUAACAUGGCACAAUGGGCGCAAGCCUGAUGCAGCCAUGCCGCGUGUGUGAAGAAGGCCUUCGGGUUGUAAAGCACUUUCAGCGGGGCGGCGUUACCCGCAGAAGAAGCACCGGCUAACUCCGUGACAGCAGCCGCGGUAAUAC